CCUACGGGUGGCAGCAGUGGGGAAUAUUGCGCAAUGGGCGAAAGCCUGACGCAGCGACGCCGCGUGAGGGAUGAAGGUCUUCGGAUCGUAAACCUCUGUUAGCAGGGAAGAACGGUCACUGUGCUAAUCAGCAGUGAAUGGACCGUACCUGCAAAGGAAGCACCGGCUAACUCCGUGCCAGCAGCCGCGGUAAUACGGAGGGUGCGGGCGUUAAUCGGAAUUACUGGGCUUAAAGCGCUCGUAGGCGGUAUGUUAAGUCAAGGGUGAAAUCCCCGCGCUCAACGUGGGAACUGCCUGUGAAACUGGCAAACUUGAGUGUGUGAGAGGAUAGUGGAAUUCCAGGUGUAGGAGUGAAAUCCGUAGAUAUCUGGAGGAACAUCGGUGGCGAAGGCGAUUAUCUGGCACAUAACUGACGCUGAGGAGCGAAAGCGUGGGUAGCAAACAGGAUUAGAUACCCGGGUAGUC
rnacentral:rRNA from 1 species